AUUUGUCAGGUCCGCGGCCAAGGCUUGUGCUCAAUCUUCAUACUGGAAGGCGGAUGGUUAUGACAAUUUGAGAGCGCGAUAUUUUGUUACAAUUGGAGGAGCUGGAGGCAAGCCAGGUGGUGAAUCCCUCCCCGGUACGUUCAGAAUUGAAAAGGAGGGGAAUGGAUAUAAGAUUGUGUAUUGUAGACUGGUGAAUUGUGUCGCGGCACCUUGCGAACCGGUUUGCAAGAAUGUUGGAGUGUAUCAGGAACAGGGGAGGAUUCUGUUAGCAUUGGCUGAUGAACCGCUUGUGGUUAAGUUUCGCAAGGUGUAAGAGGGUUGAAGCUCAUGUGUUAUGGAUUGUCAGAUGGCUGAGGCAUCCACUACUUCACUUUCUAUGAUCAGUUGAUCACUUGCUGAUAAAUAAUAAUGGGUAUAGCUGUGUAAAGUACCCUUGCUACAUAUCAAUAAAAGCGUUAAAAUAAAAACUUUGUAAACGGAUUUAGCCUCUCGAAUUCUACUUCAGUCUAUCCUAUAUUCGUACUAUGAGGUAUCAUCGAAUUCUGAGAUGGUAACUUAAAAUAUAAAACUUUGAGUAAAUUUCAGAGUUGUUGCUAUUUUUUACACCAAUUUGCAAAAAUGUAGCUGAAUUUUAAAAUUUACAGAAGUGUGGCUGGAGUUCGACUCCGCGUUUUAAAAUAUUGGCUCCCGUUAAAUCUGUCUUAACGGAAGUAACAGAGCAAGGGCAGAUGUGUAUUUUAGAAAUUAUAACGGGUAUAUUUCGGGUCAUGAUAAACCCGAACAAGAAAAUGCCAACACUCACAAAGAGCCGUGAGCUCAUCACCACCCAUUAUCGUCACCUGUCCACCAUCUCUCCUCACAAAAACCUUUGCCCGUUUAGAUGGUCAAAGAUCGGCAAGAUCGCCGGCCGGCGAGCCUGUUUUAAAACAAGAUCCGAAUCCGGCUCUUUAUGUUGAGCAUAAAUCGUAUUUUGGGUUUUCUACAUCUAUGGGGAAUAAUAUUCAGUUGAAUUGUGUGCAGAAACGGAACCUCACGAUUACGUCUUUNCCAUCGAGUGGAUCCGACUGCGCAUUCUAUACGUCUUUCUACUGAUUUGACUAUAAAAUUUGUCAGGUCCGCGGCCAAGGCUUGUGCUCAAUCUUCAUACUGGAAGGCGGAUGGUUAUGACAAUUUGAGAGCGCGAUAUUUUGUUACAAUUGGAGGAGCUGGAGGCAAGCCAGGUGGUGAAUCCCUCCCCGGUACGUUCAGAAUUGAAAAGGAGGGGAAUGGAUAUAAGAUUGUGUAUUGUAGACUGGUGAAUUGUGUCGCGGCACCUUGCGAACCGGUUUGCAAGAAUGUUGGAGUGUAUCAGGAACAGGGGAGGAUUCUGUUAGCAUUGGCUGAUGAACCGCUUGUGGUUAAGUUUCGCAAGGUGUAAGAGGGUUGAAGCUCAUGUG
rnacentral:lncRNA from 1 species